GACGAACGCUGGCGGCGUGCUUAACACAUGCAAGUCGAACGGAAAGGCCCUGCUUUUGUGGGGUGCUCGAGUGGCGAACGGGUGAGUAACACGUGAGUAACCUGCCCUUGACUUUGGGAUAACUUCAGGAAACUGGGGCUAAUACCGGAUAGGAGCUCCUGCUGCAUGGUGGGGGGUGGAAAGUUUCGGCGGUUGGGGAUGGACUCGCGGCUUAGCAGCUUGUUGGUGGGGUAGUGGCUUACCAAGGCUUUGACGGGUAGCCGGCCUGAGAGGGUGACCGGCCACAUUGGGACUGAGAGACGGCCCAGACUCCUACGGGAGGCAGCAGUGGGGAAUAUUGCACAAUGGGCGGAAGCCUGAUGCAGCAACGCCGCGUGCGGGAUGACGGCCUUCGGGUUGUAAACCGCUUUCGCCUGUGACGAAGCGUGAGUGACGGUAAUGGGUAAAGAAGCACCGGCUAACUACGUG
rnacentral:rRNA from 1 species